rnacentral:lncRNA from 1 species
CAGUAAGUUUCAAUGUCCCCUAGCUGGUGAGUCUGGUGAAGCUGUUGGUUUCACAGUGAGUGUCAUUGGAAUUUUGGGGGGCAGGUUCCUGUUUUCCAGGCUUGGUGUGCAUCAUUUCAGUGGGAUUCUCAGACAUCCUGUGGGUGACAACUGCACCUUCUCUAACCAGUUCAAAAUAUCAGCUUUACCAGGGUCGUCUUUUAAGAUCAUCUCUUCUUUGGAUACUUUUCUCUAGCCCUAGAGGUAGUGGCUGCCACUUAUAUCUGCUAGUUGUAUGAUUUUUUUUUUUUUGAGAUGGAGUCUUGCUCUGUCACCCAGGCUGGAGUGCAAUGGUGCAAUCUCGGCUCACUGCAACCUCCGCCUCCCAGAUUCAAGUGAUUCUCCCGCCUCAGCCUCCUAAGUAGCUGGGAUUACAGAGCUGGAGCUGAAAGAGAAGGAAAGGGAGCUCCACGAGGAGUUUGAGCACCUGAAGCGGGUCCACCAGGAGGGAGAAGUGCAAGGUGGUGGAAAACCACUAGGAACUGGAGGAGGAGACCAAUGCUUUCAGCUGACUGAAGGCCGCGGUAGAGGCAUUGCAGUCGCAGGCUUUGCAGUUUCACCUUGCAGCAGCCCCUGUGGCAGGCAAGGACAAGAAUCAACACAUGUGCACUUACAUGUCAAGAGUGGACUUUAGACUUUCAUGUGUUCAGUUGCUUGAGUUACACCUUGUGACUCUUCUCUCAUAACACGGUGUGAGGACAGACUGGGAGCUGGUACAGAUUCCAGUGUUUAACAGCCUUGCUUUCCUCUACCCCACCCCAGGUCCAGGUUUCCCUGGGCCUGGCGGGUCACCCCCCUCUAUGCAAACACAUAAAAGCCAUAAAUGCUGGA